rnacentral:rRNA from 1 species
CACGGGGGGAACGAGCGUUGUUCGGAUUUACUGGGCGCAAAGGGUGCGUAGGCGGGUCAGCAAGUCGGGUGUGAAAGUCCAGGGCUUAACCCUGAAUCUGCAUUCGAAACUGUUGGUCUUGAGUACUGGAGAGGUAAGUGGAAUUCCUGGUGUAGCGGUGAAAUGCGUAGAUAUCAGGAGGAACACCGUUGGCGAAGGCGGCUUACUGGACAGAUACUGACGCUGAGGCACGAAGGUCGGGGGAGCAAACAGG